UACAGAGGGUGCAAGCGUUAAUCGGAAUUACUGGGCGUAAAGCGUGCGUAGACGGUAGCGUAAGUCGGGUGUGAAAGCCCCGGGCUCAACCUGGGAAUUGCAUUCGAGACUGCGUAGCUAGGGUGCGGAAGAGGGAAGCGGAAUUUCCGGUGUAGCGGUGAAAUGCGUAGAUAUCGGAAGGAACACCAGUGGCGAAAGCGGCUUCCUGGUCCAGCAUUGACACUCAAGCACGAAAGCGUGGGGAGCAAACAGG
rnacentral:rRNA from 1 species